GUUACAGGACAACACAGUUACAGAUUUAUAGGACAACACAGUUACAGGACAAACACAGUAUUAAGGACAACACAGUUACAGAGUUAUAGGACAACACAGUUAUAGAGUUAUAGAUAAACACAGUUAUAGGCAUCACAGGUACAGGACAACACAGUUACUAUAGGACAACACAGUUAGGCAUCACAGUUACAGAGUUACAGGACAACACAGUUACAGGACAACAUUAUAGAGUUAUGGACAACAUUUAAGACAUCACAGUUACAGGACAUCACAGUAUAGAACAACACACGUUAAAGUUAUAGGACAACAGUUACAGGACAACACAGUUAUAGGACAACACAGUUACAAAGUUACAAAGUUCAGGACAACACAUUAUAGGACAGCACAGUUACAAAGUUAUAGGACAACACAGUAUAGGACAAACACGUUACAAAGUUACGACAACACGUUACAGGACAACACAGUUACGGACAACACAGAACAGUUACAAAGUUACAGGACAACACAGUUACAGGACAUCACAGUUACAGACACACGUUAAAGGACAACACAGUUACAAAGUUAUAUGACAACACAGUUAUAGGACACACAGUUACAAG
rnacentral:lncRNA from 1 species